rnacentral:tRNA from 1 species
GGGCGGAUAGCCUGGCACUUGUGAGCGCUGCCUCAGCAAGGCAGGAGGUCACAGGUUCGAUCCCUGUUCCGCCUACCA